GAUGCUGACGAGUGGCGAACGGGUGAGUAAUACAUCGGAACGUGCCCGAGAGUGGGGGAUAACGAAGCGAAAGCUUUGCUAAUACCGCAUACGAUCUCAGGAUGAAAGCAGGGGACCGCAAGGCCUUGCGCUCACGGAGCGGCCGAUGGCAGAUUAGGUAGUUGGUGGGAUAAAAGCUUACCAAGCCGACGAUCUGUAGCUGGUCUGAGAGGACGACCAGCCACACUGGGACUGAGACACGGCCCAGACUCCUACGGGAGGCAGCAGUGGGGAAUUUUGGACAAUGGGCGCAAGCCUGAUCCAGCCAUGCCGCGUGCAGGAUGAAGGCCUUCGGGUUGUAAACUGCUUUUGUACGGAACGAAAAGACUCUGGUUAAUACCUGGGGUCCAUGACGGUCGGUA
rnacentral:rRNA from 1 species